rnacentral:rRNA from 1 species
UACGUAGGGCGCAAGCGUUGUCCGGAAUUAUUGGGCGUAAAGAGCUCGUAGGCGGCCUGUUGCGUCCGCUGUGAAAUCCCGGGGCUCAACCCCGGGCGUGCAGUGGAUACGGGCUGGCUGGAGGCAGGCAGGGGAGAACGGAAUUCCUGGUGUAGCGGUGAAAUGCGCAGAUAUCAGGAGGAACACCGGUGGCGAAGGCGGUUCUCUGGGCCUGUACUGACGCUGAGGAGCGAAAGCGUGGGGGAGCGAACAGG